rnacentral:rRNA from 1 species
UAGCAGUAAGAGUUUGAUCCUGGCUCAGAACGAACGCUGGCGGCAGGCUUAACACAUGCAAGUCGAGCGCCCCGCAAGGGGAGCGGCAGACGGGUGAGUAACGCGUGGGAAUCUACCCAGCUCUACGGAAUAACCCAGGGAAACUUGGACUAAUACCGUAUACGUCCUCCGGGAGAAAGAUUUAUCGGAGUUGGAUGAGCCCGCGUUGGAUUAGCUAGUUGGUGGGGUAAUGGCCUACCAAGGCGACGAUCCAUAGCUGGUCUGAGAGGAUGGUCAGCCACACUGGGACUGAGACACGGCCCAGACUCCUACGGGAGGCAGCAGUGGGGAAUAUUGGACAAUGGGCGAAAGCCUGAUCCAGCCAUGCCGCGUGAGUGAUGAAGGCCCUAGGGUUGUAAAGCUCUUUCACCGGUGAAGAUAAUGACGGUAACCGGAGAAGAAGCCCCGGCUAACUUCGUGCCAGCAGCCGCGGUAAUAC